rnacentral:rRNA from 1 species
GUGGGGAAUAUUGGACAAUGGGCGAAAGCCUGAUCCAGCCAUGCCGCGUGUGUGAAGAAGGUCUUCGGAUUGUAAAGCACUUUAAGUUGGGAGGAAGGGCAGUAAGUUAAUACCUUGCUGUUUUGACGUUACCGACAGAAUAAGCACCGGCUAACUUCGUGCCAGCAGCCGCGGUAAUACGAAGGGUGCAAGCGUUAAUCGGAAUUACUGGGCGUAAAGCGCGCGUAGGUGGUUUUGUAAGUUGGAGGUGAAAUCCCCGGGCUCAACCUGGGAAUUGCCUCCAAAACUGCAUGACUAGAGUACGGGAGAGGGUAGUGGAAUUUCCUGGGUAGCGGUGAAAUGCGUAGAUAUAGGAAGGAACACCAGUGGCGAAGGCGACUACCUGGACUGAUACUGACACUGAGGUGCGAAAGCGUGGGGAGCAAACAGGAUUAGAUACCCGUGUAGUCC